GAGGUUACACGCGCACGGGUUCCCUGCGUUUAGUUUCAUUCUAAGUAACGAAGUCCCAACUGUAAACUGCACCAGCAACGGUAAACAGACCACUGAGGGGAGAGGGAGGGGCAGUGGGCACGACGGUAAAAAUGGCUAUGAGUUCACGCUUCCAGGAUCGAGCUGUCGCUAAUAACGCGAUUCAAAGAAGGAAACUAGAAAUAAGCGAUUUGGGUCUUGUUUUUUUAACCUAGGGUUUGUUUUGCCGCUUGAACCAUUUUUUUUUUGUUUCCAAAGGGAGCGCUGAAAUUUUGGGCAAGGAAACCUCGGUUCUUUAUCCACUCUACGGAAACCAACACCGUCGCGGCCGCCAUCUUCCCCUCUCUACUAGCAGGAGCCCGGAUGUGUAGCACGCGAGCGAGGGGUCAAAGUGAAGCCCCGCCCCCUGAGGAUGCCGGGAACGGCGAGUUAGCUAUUCGUUUUCCCGCCCCAGUCCGCCCGGCCCGCGGAAGCCCGAGGCCCCAGGGCCAGCGACGCGCCCAGAGCCGUGGGUCCCUUCGCGGGGUGACGUCGCGGGGCCGCGCCUUCCGCCUCCCCAGCCCUCACUUCCCCUUUCCCAGGCCACUGCGCAGCCCUAAUCUUUUUACAAAGUAUCAACACCAGGGAACGAAUUCGAGCUUGUAUUUCUGAAGAACCUAAAGUGUGCUAGACGCCGGGAAUCGAAAAACAAUCAAAAACAAUAAACCGUGAUGCCUAGGCUUCCCAAGUUUGCCGUCUGUGGGAAAGACAGUCCUAUAAGCAGAUCAAUUACAAUACACCUUGCUGAGGUAAAAUAAAUUUACUUUCAGGGAAGAAGUAACUGUAUCAAACAUGGUAAGUACAGGGAAUACAAUGUGGCGAGGAAAAGAGACAUCAGCCCUGGGAACGCUUUGAAGCGCCCGUGCCACCAACACUACUGUCUCCAUGCAAUUGGCACAUUAGGCAAAACUAGGAGAUGCGAGUACCCUGAGAAACAACUUGGUUAUAUUGUUUACUAUCAAAGUGUCUCCCAUGCAACCCUAACCGAGGUUCUGGAUUUGUCCCUGGGUCAGAGCAGAUGUAAAACUCAACUAAUGAAUGCAUGAAUAUGUGGAAGAACAAAUUAAUGUUUCUCUUUCUUUAUUUCUUCCUCUCUCUCAAAUCAAUUUUUUAAUUAAAAAAAAAACACAAGUAUCUCCCGCCCACAUGCUGUUUCAAAGGGUGAAAUAUCAAUAGUAGUAAUUUUACAGUGGGAAACCGGGAGGACACAAGUUCACCUGGGGAUGAAAAUAAGCUUCCCCAGAAAUUAGAAAAAUGGGCAGCAUGUGCCUCCUGAUAAGAUGCUAAGAAAAACACUAACCAAUUUUGUAGUAUUCUUCAUAACGAAAAUUCGCAUAGCCUAAAUUUAAUUAUGAGGGAAACAAGAGGAACGGUCUACAAAAUCUCUGCUUGCACUGUUCAAAAUCGUCAAGUUCACUAAAGCCCAACUAGCGAAGCUCAGCAGUUGAGCAUCCUCCUAAGAUCCAGGCAGUCAGAGUUGGAUUCCCUGUCGGGGCACAAGACUGGGUCCAGGGGUGGGAUCCCGGGAGGGGGCCUUGCAGGAGGCAGCCAAUCAAUGAUUCUCUUUCAUCAUUGAUGUUUCUAUCUCUCCUUCUCCCUUCCUCUCUCAAAUCAAUAAAAAUAUUUUU